rnacentral:rRNA from 1 species
AUUGAACGCUGGCGGCAGGCCUAACACAUGCAAGUCGAACGAGUGGCGGACGGGUGAGUAAUGUCUGGGAACCUGCCCGAUGGAGGGGGAUAACUACUGGAAACGGUAGCUAAUACCGCAUACCAUCGGAUGUGCCCAGAUGGGAGUAGCUAGUAGGUGGGGUAACGGCUCACCUAGGCGACGAUCCCUAGCUGGUCUGAGAGGAUGACAAGCAACACUGGAACGGAGACACGGUCCAGACGCCAACGGGAGGCAGCAGUGGGGAAUAUGGAACAAUGGGCGCAAGCCUGAUACAGCCAUGCCGCGGGUAUGAAGAAGGCCUUCGGGUUGUAAAGUACUUUCAGCGAGGAGGCGUUACUCGCAGAAGAAGCACCGGCUAACUCCGUGCCAGCAGCCGCGGUAAUUC